rnacentral:rRNA from 1 species
AUGAGUAUCCUCGUGUGGAACUGUCGUGGUGCUGGCAAAGCGACAGUUCGAGAGCUUCGCAAUAUGGCAAAGCAGUUUGCCCCCUCUAUUGUAUGCAUUGUUGAAACUUAAUUAGAGGGUAGUCGUGUGGAAAGUUUAGCUGAAACACUUGGUUACAAUAAAGGUUUUGCUGUUAUUAGCUCUGGUAGGAGUGGUGGUUUAGGUGUGUUUUGGAAUGAUUCAAUAAGGGUUGAAAUUAUCGGUUACUCUGAGUACCAUGUGGAUGUUGAGGUGGAUUGCUUAUUAGGUGUUCACGCAAGGUUUACUUUCGUCUAUGGAGAGGCCCAGGUAAAUGAGAGGUUCAAAACAUGGAAUAUGUUGAGGGGCAUAACUAGCUCAAGCUCUUUACCUUGGGCGGCCUUGGGGGAUUUUAAUGAGGUCCUGCGAGCAGAUGAACACGAUGGAGUUGGCAACAGAAGUCAGGCCCAAAUGGAUGCAUUCCGUGAUGCGCUCGACACUUGUGGGUUAGCGGAUAUUGGAUAUCAGGGGAACCCUUGGACGUUUGAAAAAAGAGUCACAUGGGGCACUUUUACUCGGGUAAGGCUGGAUCAGUGUGUUGCUUCGCCGGAUUGGUCUUUGGGAUUUCCACCAGCAAAGUUAGAACACAAAAACACAGCCAGCUCGGAUCAUGCAGCUAUCCUCUGA